AGGCUGUUUGGUACAACAGGACUUUGUUCAGCCUGUAAUAAAACCAUCCCAGCGUUUGAGAUGGUCAUGAAAGCUGGGAGUAAUGUCUACCAUCUUGACUGCUUCGUUUGUCAGUGCUGCAAUCACAGAUUUUGCGUGGGAGACAAAUUUUACUUGAGCAACGGGAAAGUACUUUGUGAAUAUGAUUACGAAGAAAAAAUUUUAUUCGCCAACCUUCCGUACACAGGUGAUAGUCUCUCUCAACUGAAGAA